GACGAACGCUGGCGGCGUGCUUAACACAUGCAAGUCGAACGGAAAGGCCCUGCUUUUGUGGGGUGCUCGAGUGGCGAACGGGUGAGUAACACGUGAGUAACCUGCCCUUGACUUUGGGAUAACUUCAGGAAACUGGGGCUAAUACCGGAUAGGAGCUCCUGCUGCAUGGUGGGGGUUGGAAAGUUUCGGCGGUUGGGGAUGGACUCGCGGCUUAUCAGCUUGUUGGUGGGGUAGUGGCUUACCAAGGCUUUGACGGGUAGCCGGCCUGAGAGGGUGACCGGCCAAAUGGGGAGUGAGAUACGGCCCAGACUCCUACGGGAGGCAGGAGUGGGGAAUAUUGCACAAUGGGCGGAAGCCUGAUGCAGCAACGCCGCGGGGGGGAUGACGGCCUUCGGGUUGUAAACCGCUUUCGCCGGUGACGAAGCGGGGGUGACGGUAAUGGGUAAAGAAGCACCGGCUAACUACGG
rnacentral:rRNA from 1 species